rnacentral:lncRNA from 1 species
AUGAGUUUCAUUGUCACCCCUUGGAAGUAUUACAGGAGCAGAGAAAAUGACCUAGAUGAACGCCUGUCUCCUGUCAGAUGGACUAUCUUCACAGCAGGUGUGGUCUCCUUUCUCCUUGGCAUCACGGGUCUGCAUGGAGCUCGUAAGAAGAACAAGAACUUCCUGAUCACGUAUUCAGUUGGAUCUUGUCUGCGAUGCUUUGGACUGGGGUUUCUGACCUACUACCUUCCACCACAGCAUGGCUUUGUUUACAAACAACCUUGUAUGGAUCUAAUUGUGAAGAUUUACAUGGACAUGAAUAUUGUGAGGAACACCUGUAUUUUCUACGUGGUCGUUACGGUGAGUAGAAUAGCACAACCAGUCUGA